UUGUGAACUCUAUAGCCAGGAUGCACUAGCUGCAACAAAGCAGAAUUGGGAAAACACGGACAGCAGCAUGACUAAGUGCAUGUAUGCCUUGCAGAAACUGUAUUGCUAUCACCGGAAGACCUGUCACGUGUUACUACUCCCCUCCCACCCCCCAGUAGUCAAAUUCACAGAGACUUACUCUGAUUUCAGGCAGUAGUAGUGUUGGAGGCAAGCCUGUAGGAACUCAGCUGCAUCACCACCACGGUCAGGCAGUGAUUGUGCCCAGGCUUCUCACAUUAGCAUUUGGAGAGACAGAGGAAACAAUAGGAAGCCUGCUGAGGAAAGGACUGGGGCUAUCACUGCACUACAGGGGCACAGCUACACCAGUGCAGUACCAUAGCAUAGAUACUUCCUCCCAGUCAUGGUCACUAGGUCAACAGAACCAUUCUUUUCUCAACCUAGCUGUGUCUGCAGUGGGAGUGAGUUUGGCAUAGCUACAGCACUAAGGGGUGUGAGAUUUGUACACCUCUGAGCCAUGUAACUAUGUCAAUCUAAAUGUCAAGUGUAGACCAGGCCUGAAACCAAAUGAGUGUGAGAAUAGGAGCAGCAGAGAGAGUGGAGGAGGAAAUGUUUGUACAGCAUGUAAUGUAUAAAGGUUAACUAAAUAUUAUAAGGGUGAGAAUUAGGGAUGGAAGAAGGGAGCAUGAGAGGAGAUUAGAGUAGAAAAUGAGCAAAAGACCAAUGCACAAUAUAGCACAAAACUCAGAAGGAACGAGGACAAUCAAUCUGCAUUGCUCCAGAAUCUUAAAAGCUGGGCCUCCAGCUACAGAGCUGAAAAUUCAAUGAUGUUGGGAUGGGACAAAAGAUUGAAGCAUAGAUACUGUUUCCUAUCAUUUUAACAUAUUCCUUUUCUGUAUAUCAUGGGUCCAGAUUUAUUUUGAAAUGGGAGAGGAUUUGUGGUGAAGGGAGGUCUGGGUGUUACAUGGCUACACAGGGACUCUUUACACUGCUUGUCCCACCAUUAUAAAUGCUCCUGUGCUAGCUUCCCUGACUGCACCAAAAUAGACUGUCCUAGCUGUCAGUUUUUCAGUUUGAAAAUUGAGUCUCUCACACUCACCAACAUGCUCCAUAAGCCCCAUAAGAACAGCUCUAGGGAGUAUUUAUUUUGGCUGAGGCACUGGUAAGCACGUUAAGAGAUUUAAUGAAGAUGACAGAAACAACAGACUGCAUCCACUGUGUACCAGUGCCCAGAGUGAGUGAGGAAUGACCCCAAAACAGGUGACAUGACAGUCUAAAUCCAAUCACUGUUUGGCUCAGACGGUCUUUGUAAAACUCAAAGGGCUUCCUCCAAUCCCCAUAUACCUUAGAGGUUAUAUGCUGGUGCUGCACAUCACCAUAGUAUCAACAUGCAUGUUGGCAGCAUGUGUGAUUUCAAGUGCUUGAUACAUAAAUUUGUCCCAUUCCCCAGAUUUCUGACAUUUGGAUCUCUCUCUCUCUCAUCUGGGUUGGAUCCCAAGCUGCCUGGGUUGUGAGAGCCGAUAAGGUCACAGCAUUAGAAGGUAUGGCAGAGACAGCAGGCCAAAUUAUAACUGCAUCACUUUAUUGGAGACUAAUAGGGUUGUGCAGGUGUCUGAGGGCAUAAUUGUCUGCAGCCUCUGUCACUGAUAAUUACCAGAAAUAGAGUUCAACAUUACUUUCACGAUACUGGCUGAAGGACAGUUCAGCAUAUGGAGUCUAUUCCGAGAAUUUAUACAGCAGACUUCUCUGGAGGGAAAGAAAUCAAAACACAUGUUUUUCAAAAGUGCUGGAAUGGCCUGAUUAGCAGAAAUUACAAAUGGUCUGGAAGAAUUAAAAAGCAGCACAGUAAUUUGAACAGCCAGACUUCAUCCAAAACCCUUCAGGAAUUGUUCUUUUCCCCACAGAUUUCAUGUUCCCAGCAAUCUCUGUACAAAGCUGUCAGCUCUAAGUGGGCUGGGAGACAAUAUUGGCAUUGGCAUGUACCCAGUACAAAAAUAAGUGGAGAAACUGACGUACAAGUGAAGUCCCAUUUAAAGCAUCAUAUGGAGCAUCGCCUUGCUCGAAGGCUGAAGCAGCCUGUUGGAUGUCAGGCAACACUUGAGGAUGAAAGUCGAGCUGCCUUGGGAAAUAUAGAGGCUUUUACUUGGAGGUCCAAAGAAAAAACUACAGAUCAGGCCAGAAGUCACCAUGCAAAUUCCAGUGCAUUUUCAGAUGGAUCUCAACAGAAGAAUAAAACCUGUUUAUCAGAAGAGGAGUUGUUCUUCAAAAGGCACACGAUAGCAAUGCAGAGAGGGGUAAAUUUAAAUAAUUGGGUCCUGCCAACACAGAGAACAGAUGAAAUACCUCACUUGAAGAGCCUGGAGAUUAGUGAUGACAAGGGAAACAACAGAGUGAUGACAGACUCAUUGAAAAGUGCUUUGUCAGAAACUGUUGCUUUAGCUGAAAAUGAGCAUUCCAGUCAGGAUAGUGGAGCAGACAGACCUCUCUACAGUGAAUCCUCAUCACAAAGUACAGCUCAGCUGGAGCCCCAGUCUGCAAGCAGGGCUGAAAAAACAAAGUCUUCUACUCCUUUGUUACUAGGGUGACCACGUGUUAAGGGGGGAAAUAUUGGGACCACCGCAGGGGGCGAGGGGCGUGGGUUUUUUGUUUUUUUGUUUUGUUUUUUUAAAAAACACUCACCCGUCCGGGAGUUCGGCGGCAAUUCGGCGGAGAGCCUUUCAGUCGGACGGUCUUAGGCUGUAUUUCGGCAGCGGGUAAUAAACCUUGCCGCCAAAGAAAGAAGCACCCACUGCCGAAAUACCACCAAAGACCGUCCGCGACUGAAGGACUCUCCGCCAAAUUGACGCCGAAGACCAGGAAACAAAAUAUCGGGACAAAUGGCGUUCUGGACGUACUGUGGUCGGGAUGCGGGACAAACUCCUUGAAAUCGGGACAGUCCCGAUUUAAUCGGGACGUCUGGUCACCCUAUUUGUUCCUGAGGAGCUGGGAGGGGCCUGCUAAUCUGGGAGAAGAUAAACAACGGGACCCUCCUGAUAGUGACAGAGACAGGACUAUAAUUAGGGGACACAUCAAUAUACCAUAUUCAGCCAGAAAGAAAGUCUUUAUGGUCUACAUUUGCGGAGGUUAUCAAGGUAUAGCAAUUGGAAACCAGCCCCGUUCCCGCCACGGAUACUCCCACACCCUGAGAUUCCUGGACUAUCAUGUAUCACAUCUGGGCUAAUUAUUAUUAUUCACUAUAUAGUGCCCAAAGCUUUGCUAGGAAGUCUAGUUUGGGGGAAAGAGGAUAAGACUGGGAGUCAGGAGGUUGUUGUUCUAAAUCUGACUGCCCUUGACUCACUGUUUGGCCUUCAUUUAUUGUCUCAGUUUCGCCAUCUGUAAAGUAAGAAUAAUAAUAAUAAUAAUAAUAAUUAAUAAUAUGUACCUACCUAUCUACCGCCUGGGGUUAAUGUGUUGUUGUUUGUACAGUGCUCUGAACAUAUGAAGUGCUAUGCACAUGUAAAAUGGGGUGGGGGUGGGGAGACAGGUACCUGCCCUGAAAAACUUGCCAUCUAAAUAGACAUCAUUUAGGCAAAAAAAGUGUGUGUUAGUGGAAAUGGCAGUCAUCACUAGAGUUUUUUUACAUUUAAAUACGAGUUCCAGGACCCUAGCGUGUGAAACGUCAAACGAGUAUGAACAAGUCAUUCUAUUAAAAAAAGAAACAAUAAAAUUUUCACGUGAUGUCAGCACUAAAAUACUCCCAAUCUGCCAUACCCAACCCUUCAGAAAAGUCUGGGUACAUUUCCUUUUUCCUAACAGUGGUGUGGAGGUUCCAGUAACUGUGCAUUUGGGCUGUCUAUAUAAAAGGUGGGAAUUCUCCCAUGUCCCUUUAAAAAUACAGCUGUCAAGCAUGCUGCAUUUCAGUAUUUAUACCUAAUACAUUUAAAAGACGACAAAUUAGUUUUAAAAGAUGCUAAUAAUAAAAUUGAUGUAAAGAUGGGAGGGGAAAACCACCCUACAAAGGUUGCACACAGGAACAAAUCUGCUGUGAGGUUUGUGUACCUCAGGCAAGUGCAGUUCCCAGCAUGUAAAGAGAUGGAGAUGGACUCCCAAAAUUUGCCUUCAGAUUUUCAUCCCAACAUUUAAGGGUGCUAUAGUCUUGGGGUUUGGCUGUCCUAUUUUUGAGAAAGGAGCCACUCACAACAUUUGCAUCUGGAUUGUGAACAUCCAAAGGGUUGUGAGUGUUUAAAUCUUUAGUUACAAUGUACACCCUAUGAGCAAAAUGGCUAGACUGUGAUUGGGAAGAUGUGUGCAUAUAGUGAUCAUAAACAGUGCACCUUAGGUGACUGUAUUAUAUGUAGUACCAUCUGGUCAUGAAUGAAAAAGCAUAUCAAACCAUGAAAUAAUCUCUAAACACCUCUUUUAUUUGGGAAAUAUUUAUCCCAUUGACUCAUUUAAAUCUUUGGGAUAGCAUGAAAUGCUGCAAAGCUGUAUUUUAUACCAAUAGAACCAUUUAGCCUCAGUAUGCUUGUUUUUUGAGCCAGAUGCAAAGGCAGAAAGAAAUGCAUUAAUGGAAAAGUCUCAUACCCUCGUCUGUACAAUUACUGUAAAGAAAGAGGUUACAACUUCCGGAUGCUGGACCUAAGAUAAGGGCUAAAAGAUGGUGUCAGCAAUGAUCACCGCAUGGUUUUACUUCAUUUGAAAAUGCUGAAGAAGUGCCAGGAGUUGGGACACCACAUGUUUUGUAAGCUUGGGGUUAAUUUUCUAUGAUUUCUAGUAUAUUUUCUAGGGAUUGUUUAUUUUAUUUUCUGUACAAUGCACAUCCUACAGAUCUAAUGUACUGAAGAGGAGGUAAUUGGUAAAUAUGCCACUAAGUUACACCCUGUGGAAACUUAAUUACUUGAUUUUUGCACAAAGUGUAUACCAGGGCUGUAUUGUGUCCCCUUUGUAUGGCUCUUUAUUUUCUCAUUGUUCUGUUUUCAGGUUUUCAUUGGGCAAAAGCAUGACAAUCCUGUCAUCCCAGAAAUCAUAUCAAAGGAAAACUUAGACGCAAUUAAAGACACAAUUGAAAGCAUAAAGCUGGUUGCAAUAAAGCUAAAGCAGAAUAUGCCAAGUAGCGUAUUACAUGGUGGAUCAAAAGAGGCAGUUCUGACUGAGAAAACAGAACAGGUAGAUGAUAAUCAGGCUGGUGUUACCCAAAAUAUUCUGGGAACUGACAAGUCAUCAAAAGAAAAGAUAGUUGAGACCCACCCCAAUAAAGAACCAGAAUCAAAUAUUUCAGAUGAGCAGGAUUCGCCUAAUGGGUCUCCACUCACACAACAUAAACCUGCCGUCGAAUAUGACAAAGAAAUGCAGCUUCUUAAUCAGUGGUACAAACUGGAUGAAAUUUUUGACCCAAGUGUUUACAGGCUUCUACCUAUCAGAAUGACCUGUUCAAAGAAUUUCCCUGAGGGGCUGGAUGCAAGGAAAAGAAAGCAAGUGUAUAGAGCUUAUAGUGAUGAAGAGAUUCUGGAGCACGUCCAGCGUUGCCAAGCACUGGUUACCUGUGUUGCAGGAAGAGAAACUUUUCUGUGUGACCCAAAGAAUCAGAUUCUGUCUUUCAACAGAAGACCACUUAUAGUACACGGUGAGGCUGGAUGUGGAAAAAGUGUUAUCAUGGCAAAGGCAGCAUCUUUAGCUUAUAACUGGAUACCAGGGUAAGGAACGCUCAGAUUCAUUGAGAGGGAAUUUA